GGUGUCUUAUACACACACACACACACACACACACACACACACACACACACACACACACACACACACACACACACACACACACACACACACACACACACACACACACAUACACCCAUACACACACAUUUUCUCUUUCAGAACACCAUUGUUUCUGUGUCAGAAGAAGAAGUGCUUCCAGCACCAACUUUGCUGAUCAGCACCAAGUGCCACGGCGAGAACAUAGCUUACACAGUGGCUCCUCCCACACCUCAAGACACCCAGCGAUGGCUGGUGCUAUGCCAGCAGCAGCUCCAUGACCUGAACUGCUGGCAGCGAUGUUGCACCAACCUCAUGAAGAUUGAAGAGCCGGUGCCUCGGAAAGCCUCCGCGACCCGGCAGGGUUCCUUGUAUCAUGAAAUGGUAACACCUUCUGCUGGGGAGGGGCAUGUGGUCCAGGAUUUGUCUGCAGAGAUCACUGAACUUCUGGUGUCUUACUAUCAAGAGAGUUGACCUUGAGGAGUGAGGAUGAUGGACACAGACUAGUGGUGGAGCUCUCCUCCCCUCCACCAUGUUUAGGGAAACAAAUCACUGCGGAAAACCCUUCUUCUCACCCCAGGUUGAACUAGUUCUCUCUGUCCUUUUCAGCACGGCAUGACCUAUGAUUACAGUGUGUUGUUGUUUUGCAUGCUGAAGGUUAUCCCUCCCUAUGAUUGGAUUGGCUUUUAAUUAUACUUUUUGAUGCACACUGGAAAACCUUACAACCAUUGUCUUAUUAGUAACACAACUGGGUAUCCAUGUUAUUUUGUUCAGAGAUUACGAACACAUAGUAUGAAUGAUUUAAGAUAAUUGCGCAGCGCCAUAGCUGGGACGAGUUCCAGACAAGAGAUCAAGCAGGAGAUAUUGCUAAAAAUAAAAGGUGUGUCGCCGGGCGGGAAUUCACGUCCUCCAUUGUGUGUUGCAUUUCUCUUCAUAUAUUGUCUAGACGUUUGUGUUUCUCAGGAUUGUUGAGUGAUUUGUAUCGCUUUUGUGUUGUUUUAUAUAUGUAACAAUGAUAGCUAUGUCAUUCAGACUAUAAAAAUAAAGAUCACUAUAAAUCAUCUUUCUGUCAGUUGGGCAGUGUUGGCAGAUCUCAGGUGACAAGAAACAUUCUAGAUCCUGGUAAAGAACAUUUAGUCUGCAGGAGACUUUUGUGUAAAACUGUUAUAUGUUUAUAUUUCAGUUUAUAUUUCAGUUACUUUUCAAGCAUUUGGAACAGCAUAAAGAAUUCUUUAUUCUUAACAGGUUAUGGCAUUGACCAAUGCAGCUGCUGUGUCAAAGUUACAAUAUAUAUAAAUAUCAAUGCAAGCUUAAUGCUGCUUCACCAUGUUUUAAAUGUAGAAAUAUAUAUAAAAAUAUGAAAUAAGAUUAAUGAAAAUAAAUAUAAGUAUUUGUUCAAUCAAAUAAUAGUGUAUAGUUACAGAACUGAAAAGAAAAUAACCGGUGAGGCAUGUGACGUAGUCAAUGUAUGUACAUAAGUACAAAAUAUAAAACAAGAGCACAUUAUAAAAGCAUGUCAUUGCUCACACGCAUUUAAGGUCAAUCUAUAUUCCAUAGUUCAUAUUUCUAUUCACAUUAUAUAUAUAUAUAUAUAUAUAUAUAUAUAUAUAUAUAUAUAUAUAUAUAUAUAUAUAUAUAUACACUUUUAAAUUCUUAGUAAGCUCAAUCAUUCAGGUCACCUGACUUGGUACAUUAUUCUAAGUAGUCUAGUUUUGAAGUAGUCUACGUGCAUAAAAAUGCUUUCAUACACGUAGCGCCUAGGCCUAUAGCAAGGAUACUCUGCACAUUUAACAUUUAUUCAAAUUAAAUGGACUGCAUUUAUAUAUAGCUCUUCUGACCAGUGGUCACUUCAAAGUGCUUUACAAUUAUUGCAUAACAUUCACCCAUUCAUGCUCAACCGGGGAGCAGUUAGGGUUGGGUGUCGUGCUUAUUGACACCCCAACGCUCAGCUAGGAGGGGCCGGGGAUUGAGCUGGGAACCUUCCGAUUGCCUGUCAACCCACUCUACCUCCUGAGCCAGUGAUGCCCCGUAUUACUCUCUGAAAGUUACAAUGUCGUUUUCCUAUAAUUUCAUGAAUUGUACUUGCAUUUGAAUAAUAUAGACUUAUUUCACGUACUGUGAUCACUAAUGACACAAUAAUUAUGGUAUUUUCCUGAGCAUAAAAACUGAACAAACACAAUUUGUUGCUGCAUAAAUCAAAAAGCUGUACAUAAGCAACAAAAUGAAAAAAAUAAAAUAGUAAUUUCUUCCUUAAAUAACAAAAAAAAUCCUUACAUUUUUUUCUUCUGACUUGUAUACAUGCUACCACUUGGCCACAAAGAGCAGAGAGAGUUUCAAAAGAUAAUCCCUAAAAGGCUGAAGAGAUGUCCUGAUUUGUCAGAAAUGAGCGGGGAGCUGUCUAAAAUCCCAAUUGGCUCAUGCGAAGGCAGGCGAAGUCAACAGGAAUCAGAUGUUCUCACAGCACAUUUCACCCACCAAUAGCUGUCAGACGGCUCGGGCCACUUCUAACAUAUUACCCUCAAAAACAAGCUCUUCAAUUGUAUCUACAGCACCUUUAAGUGGUAUUGCGU
ensembl:lncRNA